rnacentral:lncRNA from 1 species
ACAUGUGAGAAUCAUAAUCAUCGGCGACAAAGCUUUCUAUUGGGGAAUCUGAAUAUACGAAACCAUCAUGGGGUGAUGAUGGAUUGUCCACUGAUGUAGAUGUUGGACAUUGCACCGAUGUGAGUUCCAUGUGCUGGGUAGUAUCAUCAUCUCCUAAAUGUAAUUUGAAGAUCGAUGUUGUUACAUAUAUACAGAUGUGUGUGAGAAUUACCUUGAAUUGUAGCAGAAGUUUGUGCGAGCGUACCUGGGUGGCUAAAGACAUAAGAACUUGAUGAUGGAUGUCCCAUCAAUGAACCUGUAGGGCACUGUAGUGCAACAGAAUCCCUGCAGAGGGCAUCUCGUUUAGAUGCGUAGCUUGCAUUAC